CGGAGAGGGAGCAUGAGAAACGGCUACCACUUCUAAGGAAGGCAGCAGGCGCGCAAAUUACCCAAUCCUGACUCAGGGAGGUAGUGACAAGAAAUAACAAUAAACCGGCUUAUGCCGGUUUAAUUGGAAUGAGUACAAUUUAAACAUCUUAACGAGGAACAAUUGGAGGGCAAGUCUGGUGCCAGCAGCCGCGGUAAUUCCAGCUCCAAUAGCGUAUACUAAAGUUGUUGCAGUUAAAAAGCUCGUAGUUGGAUUUCUGCGGGGACGGAGCGGCCGGUCGCAACUUGCGACUCGAGCUAGCGCUUUCCCCGCAUCCUGCCGCGAACCGUGCUACCAUUAGUUUGGUGGCGCUGGGGAUCGGCUCGAUUACUUUGAGAAAAAUAGAGUGUUCAAAGCAGGCCACACGCCUUGAAUAAGUUAGCAUGGAAUAAUGACUAAGGACUUCGGUUCUAUUUUGUUGGUGUUCGGGACUGAAGUAAUGAUUGAUAGGGACAGUUGGGGCGGUCUGUAUUCCAAAGCGAGAGGUGAAAUUCUUAGACCUUCGGAAGACAAACAGCUGCGAAAGCGUUCCGCAAGGAUGUUCCCUUUGAUCAAGAACGAAAGUUGGGGGAUCGAAGACGAUCAGAUACCGUCGUAGUCUCAACUAUAAACUAUACCAGCUAGGGAUCGGUCAACGUUUAAUUAUUCGACUUGAUCGGCACCUUAUGAGAAAUCAAAGCAUCUGGGUUCCGGGGGGAGUAUGGUCGCAAGGCUGAAACUUAAAGGAAUUGACGGAAGGGCACCACCAGCCGUGGAGCCUGUGGCUUAAUUUGACUCAACACGGGAAAACUUACCAGGUCCAGACAUAGUAAGGAUUGACAGAUUGAUAGCUCUUUCUUGAUUCUGUGGGUGGUGGUGCAUGGCCGUUCUUAGUUGGUGGAGUGAUUUGUCUGGUUAAUUCCGUUAACGAACGAGACCCCAGCCUGCUAAAUAGCGCGGCUGAGCUUUGCUCGGUGCGAGCUUCUUAGAGGGACUAUGAUGCGCGAUAGCACAUGGAAGUUUGGGGCAAUAACAGGUCUGUGAUGCCCUUAGAUGUUCUGGGCCGCACACGGGCUACACUGGCGCCUGCAACGAGCAUAUCAGCUGGCCCGAGAGGGUCUUGGCUAAUCUUUUGAACCGGCGCCGUGCUUGGGAUUGACCUUUGCAAUUGUUGGUCAUGCAACGAGGAAUGCCUUGUAAACGCGAGUCAUCAGCUCGCAUUGAAUACGUCCCUGCCCUUUGUACACACCGCCCGUCGCCCCUACCGAUGAAUGUUCCGAUGAAAUUUUCGGAGAGCGCCAGAGAACGGGGCUCUGCCUUGCAGAUCUGGAGGCUCAAAGUCACUUAAAUCUGAACAUUUCGAGGAAGGAGAAGUCGUAACAAGGUAACC
rnacentral:rRNA from 1 species